UACAGAGGGUGCGAGCGUUGUCCGGAAUCACUGGGCGUAAAGGGCGCGUAGGCGGCCCCUUAAGCGUGCGGUGAAAGCCCGGGGCUCAACCCCGGGUCGGCCGUGGCGGACUGGGGGGCUGGAGCCGAUCAGAGGCAGGCGGAAUUCCCGGUGUAGAGGUGAAAUUCGUAGAUAUCGGGAGGAACACCGGUGGCGAAGGCGGCGAUCUGGGUCGAUACGUGACGCUGAGGUGCGAAAGCGUGGGGAGCAAACAGG
rnacentral:rRNA from 1 species